rnacentral:misc_RNA from 1 species
AAGUCGUAACAAGGUUUCCGUAGGUGAACCUAGAGGAAGUAAAAGUCGUAACAAGGUUUCCGUAGGUGAACCUGCGGAAGGAUCAUUAACACGUAUCCAACGUUAAACAACCCUGUGAACUUUCAGCGCUCUUGUAACCCAGGCGGAACAGCAAUCCCGGUAGAUCAAUGGCGGAACAGUUUUGAUUCGGGACCUCUGUCCAAAAGGUAUCAAGUUACAAUCGAGCUAGGAGCAGUGGCAUGGUUUCCCUAAGCAGUGCAGAAGGAUCCACUGAGUACGGAUAACGCAUCACGGUUGCCAGAGGUCGAUCACCGGCCGGCAAACAUGUCACAGGGCUAUAUGCCCCUUCAUUCACACCUUGCCUAAUCAUGCCCCGCGGAAACGCCGGGCACAAAAACUGAACAACUGUUAACAAUGGAUAUCUUGGUUCUC